rnacentral:rRNA from 1 species
AUUGAACGCUGGCGGCAGGCCUAACACAUGCAAGUCGAACGAGUGGCGGACGGGUGAGUAAUGUCUGGGAAACUGCCCGAUGGCGGGGGAUAACUACUGGAAACGGUAGCUAAUACCGCAUACCAUCGGAUGUGCCCAGAUGGGAUUAGCUAGUAGGUGGGGUAACGGCUCACCUAGGCGACGAUCCCUAGCUGGUCUGAGAGGCUGACCAGCCACACAGGAACUGUGCCACGGUCCCGAGUCCUACGGGAGGCAGCAGUGGGGAAUUGUGCACAAUGGGCGCAAGCCUGAUGCAGCCAUGCCGCGGGUGUGGAGAAGGCCUUCGGGUUGUAAAGCACUUUCAGCGGGGAGGCGUUACCCGCAGAAGAAGGACCGGCUAACCCCGUGCCAGCAGCCGCGGGAAUUC